GACGACGCUGGCGGCGUGGAUUAGGCAUGCAAGUCGGACGGUAGGGCUUUAUCGUAAGAUAGAGUUUGAGAGUGGCGAACGGGUGAGUAACACGUAGGAAUCUACCCUUAAGACGGGGACAACCCAGGGAAACUUGGGCUAAUACCGGAUGAGAGUGCGAGAGAUUGCAUUUAAAAGGAUGGCGAAAGUUGUCGCUUAGGGAUGAGCCUGCGGUCUAUUAGUUAGUUGGUGAGGUAAGAGCUCACCAAGGCGAUGAUAGAUAGGCGGCCUUAACGGGUGGUCGCCCACACUGGGAUUGAGAUACGGCCCAGACUCCUACGGGAGGCAGCAGUGGGGAAUUUUGGACAAUGGGCGAAAGCCUGAUCCAGCCAUGCCGCGUGCAGGAAGAAGGCCUUCGGGUUGUAAACUGCUUUAGUCUAGGAAAAAAGGGGUGCGAGGUUAAUACCCUCGUGCUUUGAUGGUACUGGAAGAAUAAGCACCGGCUAACUACGUG
rnacentral:rRNA from 1 species